rnacentral:pre_miRNA from 1 species
UGAUGAUGAUGAUGAUGAUGAUGAUGAUGAUGGUGGUGGUGAUGGUGGUGAUGAUGGCCCCGUUUGGCACUGGUGCUGUUGAUAUGGAAGACAGGGGUGGUGGAUAACAUGUGGUAAGGCAAGGAAGAUUCAACAUGGACAGCAAAGGGUCUUUACAUCAAUGACAGUGAUCAAAUCUACUUCAUCACCGUCAUCAUCAUCAUCAUCAUCAUCAUCAUCAUCAUCA